AUUGAACGCUGGCGGCAGGCCUAACACAUGCAAGUCGAGCGAGCGGCGGACGGGUGAGUAAUGUAUGGGGACUGCCCGAUAGAGGGGGAUAACUACUGGAAACGGUGGCUAAUACCGCAUACUAUCGGAUAACCCAUAUGGGAUUGGCUAGUAGGUGGGGUAAAGGCUCACCUAGGCGACGAUCGAUAGCUGGUCUGAGAGGAUGAUCAGCCACACGGGGACAGAGACACGGCCCAAACUCAUACGGAGGCAGCAGUGGGGAAUUUUGCACAAUGGGCGCAAGCCUGAUCCAGCCAUGCCGCGUGUAUGAAGAAGGCCUUCGGGUUGUAAAGUAAUUUUGGCAGGGAAGCGGUACCCGAAGAAUAAGCACCGGCUAACUACGUGCCAGCAGCCGCGGUAAUUC
rnacentral:rRNA from 1 species